AGCAAACUAACACUAUUGACUGUGGAUAUUUUGUGUCGCGCUUUAUGAAAGAGGUUGUCAUGCAAUAUCCAAAGAAGAUUCCCGAUAAUUAUUUUGAUGAAUACAAAUGUGGUACAUACUCUAAGGAUAAGUUAAGUGAAGUGAAGGAUGAAUGGGCAGGAUAUAUUUUCACAAAUGUUAUCCCCGGUGGAAGUUGGAUAAUGGACUUCUUGGAAACAUGAAAGAUGCUUGCUUGGUUGGGCAAUUGACAGAGGAAUAUUGUUUAGGUUAAUUAGCUAUAUUGUCUUGUUAUAAGUAGUGUCAUGAACAUCAUCUAGCGGGUUAGGAUAAUUAGUUUGUUUUUGUCUUGGACACAAAAUUGUCUUGCUUCUUUGUUUGUUUUGUGAAGGAUGGGAGACUAUGUAAUUUGAUGGUACUUAUUGGCCUUCUUUGUGCCUUUUUAUAUCUUUAUUAAUAUAACUUUGCCUUUUGUA